rnacentral:rRNA from 1 species
CCUACGGGUGGCAGCAGUGGGGGAUAUUGCACAAUGGGGGAAACCCUGAUGCAGCGACGCCGCGUGGGCGAAGAAGUAUUUCGGUAUGUAAAGCCCUAUCAGCAGGGAAGAAGAAAUGACGGUACCUGAGUAAGAAGCACCGGCUAAAUACGUGCCAUCAGCCGCGGUCAUACGUAUGGUGCAAGCGUUAUCCGGAUUUACUGGGUGUAACGGGCGCGCAGGCGGCACGGCAAGCCUGAUGUGAAAGCCCGCGGCCCAACCGCGGGACAGGAUUAGGAACGACCGGGCUGGAGUGCCGGAUAGGUAGGCGGAAUUACUAGUGUAGCGGUGAAAUGCGUAGAUAUUAGGAGGAACACCAGGGGCGAAGGCGGCCUACUGGACGGUGACUGACGCUGAGGCUCGAAAGCGUGGGGAGCAAACAGGAUUAGAUACCCGGGUAGUC